rnacentral:rRNA from 1 species
GCGCAGCAGGCGAGAAACCUCCGCAAUACACGAAAGUGUGACGGGCCAUCCCGAGUGCCGUCCGCUGAGGACGGCUUUCCCCAGUGUACAUAGCUGGGGAAUAAGGAGAGGGCAAGCCUGGUGUCAGCCGCCGCGGUAAUACCAGGCUCUCCGAGUGGUGGGGACGCUUAUUGGGCCUAGAGCAUCCGUAGCCGGCUGGGCAAGUCCUCCGUUAAAUCCAACGAUUCAAUCGUUGGGCUGCGGGGGAUACUGUCCAGCUUGGGGGCGGGAGAGGCCGACGGUAUU